rnacentral:rRNA from 1 species
UACGUAGGUGGCAAGCGUUGUCCGGAAUUAUUGGGCGUAAAGCGCGCGCAGGCGGUCCUUUAAGUCUGAUGUGAAAGCCCACGGCUCAACCGUGGAGGGUCAUUGGAAACUGGGGGACUUGAGUGCAGAAGAGGAAAGUGGAAUUCCGAGUGUAGCGGUGAAAUGCGUAGAGAUUUGGAGGAACACCAGUGGCGAAGGCGACUUUCUGGUCUGUAACUGACGCUGAGGCGCGAAAGCGUGGGGAGCAAACAGG